AAAGUUUAAACUUCAAAGCUCAUGCAUGCAUGCACAUCCAGUGCUCAGUGUCUAAUUGUGUGUUUGUGUUUUUACCUUUUUGCAGUAGCGUAGUGAAACAUUUGGGCGGUGGAUAAAUAAUGGAAAAUAAAAUUCAGACUACAGACGGCUUCAGGUUUCCAUACAUCGGAAACAGCUGCUGCAUCUGUAAUUCUGUCCAUCCUGAGGAGAGUCCACACUCUACAUCAGAUCCUUGGCUCACCUAUAAUGACGCACAGGUGCUGCACACAACUGGAUCUGCAGCUUACACCCUUCAGUUUCAUCAUGUCAUCCCUAACAAUAGCUGUAGAGUUGGAUGGAGGAUGAAGACAGCAGAGAGCAAAAGAAACAGUUGAACUUUUGCAAAGCUGAGGAGAUUUUGGCUGCGAUCACAUCAAGUCCAAAGAUGUUUAAACUUCUUUUUCACAGAAAGAAAUCACACAAACAAAACGUGGCAGAGAAGGAAAUUCCUUCUACGUCUCAUCAGAGGUAAAGAAAUGCGCCCUCUUUA